rnacentral:rRNA from 1 species
CCCUUAGAGUUUGAUCCUGGCUCAGAUUGAACGCUGGCGGCAGGCCUAACACAUGCAAGUCGAACGGUAACAGGAAGCAGCUUGCUGCUUCGCUGACGAGUGGCGGACGGGUGAGUAAUGUCUGGGAAGCUGCCUGAUGGAGGGGGAUAACUACUGGAAACGGUAGCUAAUACCGCAUAAUGUCGCAAGACCAAAGAGGGGGACCUUCGGGCCUCUUGCCAUCGGAUGUGCCCAGAUGGGAUUAGCUUGUUGGUGGGGUAACGGCUCACCAAGGCGACGAUCCCUAGCUGGUCUGAGAGGAUGACCAGCCACACUGGAACUGAGACACGGUCCAGACUCCUACGGGAGGCAGCAGUGGGGAAUAUUGCACAAUGGGCGCAAGCCUGAUGCAGCCAUGCCGCGUGUAUGAAGAAGGCCUUCGGGUUGUAAAGUACUUUCAGCGGGGAGGAAGGGAGUAAAGUUAAUACCUUUGCUCAUUGACGUUACCCGCAGAAGAAGCACCGGCUAACUCCGUGCCAGCAGCCGCGGUAAUACGGAGGGUGCAAGCGUUAAUCGGAAUUACUGGGCGUAAAGCGCACGCAGGCGGUUUGUUAAGUCAGAUGUGAAAUCCC